UACAAUUUAUAACAAGGAAUGUAC
rnacentral:siRNA from 1 species